AUGGGUGCUGGGCUAUAUGGGUAUAUAGAUCAAACCACACCCGAGCCAAACAAAACCAUCAUCACCAAGACCUCAGAAGGAAAGGAUCAAAUCGCUCCUAACCCUGAAUACAAACCAUGGCUGAUUCAAGAUCAGCAGAUCGUAGCCUUCCUCCUUCGUAAUCUCUCGAAGGAGGUCCUGAUUCAAGUUGCCUCCCUAGAAACCUCGCAUGCCAUAUGGUCAGCCCUAGCAAAUAUGUUCGCUACCCAAUUCCGUUCUCGUGUGAACAACUGCCGCCAAUCCCUCACCAAUGCAUAGAAAGGCUCCCUGAGCGCAUCCGCAUACUUUGGGCAGAUGAGA
rnacentral:rRNA from 1 species